rnacentral:lncRNA from 1 species
CCCUCACUAUCUUCCCUAUUCUCUAAACAUCCCACUUAAAGAAAUAAAAAUAAAUUCUUUGUCUCAGAUAUGAAAAGUCAAGCAAAACAAAGUCCUACAAUGACCGUGUCCAAAAAUUUAUGUGUCAUUUUGCAUCCCAAGUUUAUCUCUCUGUCAGGAGGUAGAUAACAUAUUUCAUUACUACUCCUGGGGGUAUUGGUUGAUAAUAACCAUUGAUUAAUCAGAGUUCUUACGUCUUUCAAAUUGUUUUUUCUUUUCUUUUUAUAACAUUUUAUUUUUCCAGUUAAAAACAAAUUUUCCCAUUUGCUUUUUAAACAUUUGAGUUCCAAAUUUUCUCCUUUCUCUCCCCCUCCCUGACAAGGCAAGCAGUUCUAUGUAGUCAGAACAUGGUUGGUCAUGCAAAUCAUAUUUCUAUAUUAGCCAUAUCAUGAAACCAAAAGACCCAAGAAAAAUGAAGAAAGUAAAAAAAAUGCUUCAGUCUGCAUUCAGACUCCAUCAGUCCUUUCUCUGAAUUCUUAUAUCAUUUAUUCUUCAUACUGCAUCCAGAGCAAGUGCCAGGGAAGUGAAACCAGCACACGUCCCAUCAGAGCAGAUCCUGAUGGAGCCAGCCCUGAUCCUGAACCCGGAGCCUUGGGAAUCUCAGUGCUUCUAGUCCCCUGCUCUAUAAACCAUCAUCCCAGGAAACAGCCUUGUGGAAGGUAACCUGGCAACUGCCCCUUCAGGCGCUAUAGCCACAGCUGCUGAAGAUCUAGAAAAGAAAGUUCUUACAACCAAAAUCUUUAGUGCUGUUAAAUAACCCAAUCUCAGAAACUGAUAUUAUUUGUCUGGUGAAAUGACAUUAAAGAAGAAGCAUGAUCAUUUGCUUAAUGGCUGCACCCUGAAGACCAGAGGACUUUACCAUCUAAUUUGUAAUUGAAUUCCCAAUUAUUGUCUUCUCCAUUCCAAUGUGAAAUCCUUAAAAACAGGGAUUGUCUUACUUUUGUGUUUGUAUGUGCUUUAUCCAUUGCUUUGUACAUGGUAAGUGCCUAAUAAAUACUCCCCCCCCCCCCCA